AAUCAACGCUGGCGGCGCGCUUAACACAUGCAAGUCGCACGAGAAAGGGAGCAAUCCUGAGUAAAGUGGCGUACGGGUGAGUAACACGUGGGAAUCUACCUCUUGGCGGGGAAUGACCCUGGGAAACCGGGGCUAAUACCGCAUAAGCUCGUGAGAGGAAAGCAGCAAUGCACCGAGAGAGGAGCCCGCGGCCGAUUAGCUAGUUGGUGGGGUAAUGGCUCACCAAGGCGAAGAUCGGUAGCCGGCCUGAGAGGGCACACGGCCACACUGGCACUGAAACACGGGCCAGACUCCUACGGGAGGCAGCAGUGGGGAAUCUUGCACAAUGGGGGAAACCCUGAUGCAGCGACGCCGCGUGAGCGAUGAAGCCCUUCGGGGUGUAAAGCUCUUUCGACAGGAACGAUAAUGACGGUACCUGGAGAAGAAGCUGCGGCUAACUACGUG
rnacentral:rRNA from 1 species